UACGUAGGGGGCAAGCGUUGUCCGGAAUCAUUGGGCGUAAAGAGCGUGUAGGCGGCCCGGUAAGUCCGCUGUGAAAGUCCAGGGCUCAACCCUGGGAUGCCGGUGGAUACUGUCGGGCUCGAGUCCGGAAGAGGAGUGUGGAAUUCCUGGUGUAGCGGUGAAAUGCGCAGAUAUCAGGAGGAACACCACUGGCGAAGGCAGCACUCUGGGACGUGACUGACGCUGAGACGCGAAAGCGUGGGGAGCAAACAGG
rnacentral:rRNA from 1 species